UACGUAGGGGGCGAGCGUUGUCCGGAUUUAUUGGGCGUAAAGAGCUCGUAGGCGGCUUGUCACGUCGGGUGUGAAAGCCCGGGGCUUAACCCCGGGUCUGCAUUCGAUACGGGCAGGCUAGAGUGUGGUAGGGGAGAUCGGAAUUCCUGGUGUAGCGGUGAAAUGCGCAGAUAUCAGGAGGAACACCGAUGGCGAAGGCAGGUCUCUGGGCAUUAACUGACGCUGAGGAGCGAAAGCAUGGGGAGCGAACAGG
rnacentral:rRNA from 1 species